rnacentral:lncRNA from 1 species
UGUGUCAGUUUGCAGGAAGUGACCCAGCUCCGCUGUGAACUUCAGCAGGGGAGAGGUGUGCUGUGGCUGCAGGGAGGUCAUGCUCUUCCAGCCAGCCAGGCUGGAGUCACCUUGAGUCCACCUCCAUCACAGGACAAAAAGGAAGGUUGUGCAAGGCUGGAGUCAGACAGUCAGUGUUUAUCAUCAUGGCUAUGCCCAUCCGAAGGCUUUCCAUCAUCCUGUGAAACUGGAACUAAAUGUGCUGAAGGAGUCCAAAACACUGUCAUGGACACGUAACUGGUGCCUUAGAGCAUGAAAGGGAGGGCAGGCAUGAUAUAACCCGAGGUGCUUGAGCGUGGUCCCUGGAGUAAAGAGCUGACAAAAGGUACCAGCACACAGCCCAGGAGAAAGACCUCUGGGGCAGUUUAAAACCAAAAUGAGGGAAUGAGAAAGCAGUUAGUCAG